UACAGAGGGUGCGAGCGUUGUCCGGAAUUACUGGGCGUAAAGGGCUCGUAGGUGGCCAACUAAGUCAGACGUGAAAUCCCUCAGCUUAACUGGGGAACUGCGUCUGAUACUGGAUGGCUUGAGAUUGGGAGAGGGAUGCGGAAUUCCAGGUGUAGCGGUGAAAUGCGUAGAUAUCUGGAGGAACACCGGUGGCGAAGGCGGCAUCCUGGACCAACACUGACACUGAGGAGCGAAAGCCAGGGGAGCAAACGGG
rnacentral:rRNA from 1 species